UACGGGGGGGGCAAGCGUUGUUCGGAAUUACUGGGCGUAAAGGGCUCGUAGGCGGCCAACUAAGUCGGACGUGAAAUCCCUCGGCUUAACCGGGGAACUGCGUCCAAACUGCUUCGCUUGAGACCGGGAGAGGUGAGUGGAAUUCCCAGUGUAGCGGUGAAAUGCGUAGAUAUCGGGAGGAACACCUAUGGCGAAGGCAGCUCGCUGGGACGGUACUGACGCUGAGACGCGAAAGCGUGGGGAGCGAACCGG
rnacentral:rRNA from 1 species